rnacentral:lncRNA from 1 species
CGGUCUGGUGGGGGCUACCGGUCUGGUGGGGGAGGUGGAUACUGGAUUGGAGUGAUCGGUAGGGAUGGAGGGUGUGUAAGUGGAGAGAGCCCUCACCCUAUUACCCAGGAAGGGCACUUCACACUGGACUCACCCCACCCAGAGAUGCCCAUCCACCUCUGCCCAGCCCUGCCUUUCUCCCCUGCUGCCACACGGAGGCGACAGAGCAACCCUUCCACAGCUGCCUCUGGACGUUCUCCCAUCAGCAACGUGGAUGGGUGGCUGAGGUGGGAUCUGUGCCUUCUGCAGAUGAUCCCGGCCUGGUGAUGGCCCUCUUUUGGGCUGAGACUCCUCACGCGGAAGAUGAUGGAGGUGGAUGUUAGCCCUGCAGGAGGCAGCUCACCACCCACGAGGAGGGACUUAGGCAGCGGACUUGCUGAGGGGUAAGGGUCUGCCCCAUGAUGCCUCACAGCUCCACCUUCUGGGAGCCACCCACGUGUGGGCAGCCUCAGGGGACUCCAGCUCCAGGAGCAAGAUCGGGUUGUGGAUGGAGGAAGGGUUGCAGAUGCCAUCAAAGCUGUUGCUUCUCUGUGAACUGCAGCAGACUUUGCCCGGAGCAGUAAACUGUGGACGGAGGAAGGGAAGCAGGAAGGCAGGAUUCCAUCCAAGGUGCCACGUUACACUUAAACAUCAUGCCUCCAUCCUUUCUUCCUGGUCUGAGAGAGUUGCUCAGACUCUCCUGGUUUUUGAUGAUCUUGAGAGUUUUGAGUAUUCAUCAUCAGGCUGGCACCCAGCACUGUGCUAUCCUAGGAAGAAACAGCUAAAUCCCAAUGAAAGGUAAGGAUUUUUGUCAGAAAGAUUAGCUUAAAUCAACAGGGUAUAAUUUAACUGGCUGGCUUGUAAAAACCCAGGAAAAGGUUUUGUGCCUUUAUGGUGAAUGAAAAAAAGGCAGGAUACACAAUUGUAUUAUACAUUAUGACCAGGUUAAAAUGCCUAGAAAACCUUAGUAUCAAACACAACAAAAUCUUAAUGUCAGUUACCUGUGUGAAUCAGGACUGUCAGGAUUUUUUAUUUUCUGUUUUAUAUUUUUCUGUAUUUUUCAAGUACUCUGCAAUGAAGAGGUGUUAUUUCUAGCGUCAGAAAAACAAAAUCCUUUGUUUAGUACUUGAGAACUAAUUGAACUGUGGGCCCCACCCCCUUCCCUACUCUGUGUUUCUUCUGGGCCCCUGGAUCUCCC